GGAGAAAAAGGAGAAAAAGAAGAAGUGAACCGGUUCCGUGGUCCAAACGGACCGAGCUGUCCUCCAGAAUCACCCAGAAUGAAAAAAGGAGAUCAGAAGCUGGGGGAGAAAAAUUAAGAUUAGACUGCUGAGUCUUUUUCACCAUUUCACAUAAAGCUACGUAGGAAAGAUGUAGAGAAGGUAUGAACACCUUUAUGAAGCCUUCAAGAUAUCAUUUUGUGAAGUGUCUCUUUAGUUAAUCUGAGAAAUCUACAACCU